AAGCCUAGAGAGAGAAAGAAGUUCCCGCGCACUAUUCACGGCGGCGCUACUGUUCACGCCGCCACUGUUCACGGCCAGCCCAUUUUUGCCCCCUUCUACACAAUUAAUUGGAGAGAUUUGAAGAUUAAGAGGAGGAAAAAGAUGGAGCUCAUGGUAGCCAUGGCUUUCUUGAAGACAUUUCAUGGUGAAAAAUUAGAGCUUGUCUCUAAGGCCUUGGGGAGCCCGAGGCGUAGGUUGGGAUUAACUUUAGUUGGGCAAACUUGGAGCGCGUACGAGGUACAGACGCACAGUUUGGUGAUCUACCCAUUUAGGACACCCUCUUCUGCUGUUUGGAGUGCUCUUCUCAUUUCAGAGCACACAUUUUGGUAUAUAUUCGUUCGCUAUGUAUAUAUGUAUUUGUUCAGGGGCACGGCGGGGCCCUGUCCCGCCAUAUGAUUCGGUUUGUCUGUUUAGAGGUCUGUAGACGUAUUUGUGGGUGUGUGUGCCUACUUCUGUACGGAUGUGUUUGCAUGACUCUAUUCGUUAUGGCAGCCUCGUCGGCGUGCAUUUUGUAUAUGUUGUGGCAGCCUUGUCGGCGUGCAUUUGUAUAUGCGUUUUGGGCCGUUGUGCCAUUUGACAGCCUUGUCGGCUUUUGACAUAUUUGAUAGCCUUGCCGGCUUUUUGACA